UCUUGGAUCGCCGCAAGACGAACUACUGCGAAAGCAUUUGCCAAGAAUGUUUUGUUUAAUCAAGAACGAAAGUUAGAGGUUCGAAGGCGAUCAGAUACCGCCCUAGUUCUAACCGUAAACGAUGCCAACUAGCGAUCAGCAGCUGUUAAAUUUAUGACUCUGCUGGCAGCUUCCGGGAAACCAAAGUUUUUGGGUUCCGGGGGAAGUAUGGUUGCAAAGCUGAAACUUAAAGGAAUUGACGGAAGGGCACCACCAGGAGUGGAGCCUGCGGCUUAAUUUGACUCAACGCGGGGAAACUCACCCGGCCCGGACACCGUAAGGAUUGACAGAUUGAUAGCUCUUUCUUGAUUCGGUGGGUGGUGGUGCAUGGCCGUUCUUAGUUGGUGGAGCGAUUUGUCUGGUUAAUUCCGAUAACGAACGAGACUCUAGCCUACUAAAUAGAUAGCGUUAUUCUUCGUUCGCUAUACUUCUUAGAGGGACAAGAUGCGUCUAGCGUCACGAGAUUGAGCAAUAACAGGUCUGUGAUGCCCUUAGAUGUUCGGGGCCGCACGCGCGCUACAAUGAAGGAAUCAACAUGCAUUAGAACCUUAUCUGGAAGGAUUGGGUAACCCGUUGAAACUCCUUCGUGCUUGGGAUAGGGGCUUGUAAUUAUUUCCCUUGAACGAGGAAUUCCUAGUAAGUGUGGGUCAUCAUCUCGCGUUGAUUACGUCCCUGCCCUUUGUACACACCGCCCGUCGCUACUACCGAUUGGAUGAUUUAGUGAGGUCUUCGGACCGGUACCGAAGCAGCUUUACGGCUGCCUCGUUGUACUGGAAAGAUGACCAAACUUGAUUAUUUAGAGGAAGU
rnacentral:rRNA from 1 species